UUUAAACGAAUUCGCCCUUAGUACCCGCUGAACUUAAGCAUAUCAUUAUAGGAAGGACAAGAAAUUAACAAAGAUUCCCCUAGUAGUGGCGAAUGAACCGGGACAAGUUUGCGAUGGUAAACCUACCCUAAUCUUUGAUUGGAAGGUGUUGUAUAAUAGUUUGAAAAGAUGAGCUGGAAUGCUCAACCAUAGAGGGUGAUAGUCCCUUUUCUAACACAAUAUAGAAUUAGCCAUGCUUGGUAAUGCAUGGUGAAGCGGUGGUAGAUCUCAUCGAAAACUAAAUAUAACAGAACACCGAUAGCGAAUAAGUACUGCGAAGGAAAGAAGCACGCCUUUUGGCGACUAAGAAGUGAAAUUACAUGCACGGAAGGCAAUUUAUUGCACCCGUCUUGAAACACGGAAGGGCGAAUUCGCGGCCGCUAAAUU
rnacentral:rRNA from 1 species